rnacentral:sRNA from 1 species
UUGACGCCCUGAAUGAGAAUGGUUAUCUUGCAGGUGUGGCGUUCGCCAGACGCCGCUUUCCAUCGCAGAGAAGGCUGAUCAUCGGGAUCGAUUUCCCUGCCAUGGUUAUCUCCUCAUCAAGCUAGUCACGGUCUUGUGCGGCGAUUCUCAUGAAUCGCCGCUUUUUUCG